UGGGGAAUUUUGCACAAUGGGGGAAACCCUGAUGCAGCGACGCCGCGUGAUUUAGAAGGCCUUCGGGUUGUAAAAAUCUUUUUUACGGGAUGAAAAUGACAGUACCGUAAGAAUAAGGUCCGGCUAAAUACGUGCCAGCAGCCGCGGUAAUACGUAUGGACCGAGCGUUGUCCGGAAUCAUUGGGCGUAAAGGGUACGUAGGCGGCCUAGUAAGUUAGAAGUGAAAUAAUAUAGCUCAACUAUAUAAAGCUUUUAAAACUGCUAGGCUUGAGAGAUGGAAGGGAAAGUGGAAUUCCUAGUGUAGCGGUGAAAUGCGCAGAUAUUAGGAAGAAUACCGGUGGCGAAGGCGACUUUCUGGUCUUCAUCUGACGCUGAGGUACGAAAGCGUGGGUAGCAAACAGG
rnacentral:rRNA from 1 species